UUUGCUUUGUUUUAAACUUAAAAAAUAAAUAGCUUCCUUAAAGGAAUAUGUUCAGUUUAAACAGUUACAAUACAGCAGAAUUACAGAAAUCAGCAGCCAGUCCAGACUUCUUCUUUUUUUAGCUGUGAGGUUACUUCAGACAUCUUGAAGCAGAGUUCAUGAUAUCAUUAAUUCAUAAGGGAUACAAUACUGAAUUGCUGAGCCUAAAUAAAAAUCUCUAUGGAGUGCUACUUUGUUAUUUUUUUCAUGCUGAAAAGAAAUUUGGAAGCCACCUGGACCACUGACUAAACUUUAAAAGGAUUAAAAUGCCUGCUGGAAAAUUUGGAAUGGAUCCAAGUCUUGGUGGAAGGUUUUUUUGUGUUUUUACAAACUUAAGUGGUUUUUUGAGACAUAAUUAUCACAGUGCUAUAAAAUGAAGGCAAUCUUAGAGGAAGUCUUGACCAGAUAGAAAUGGAUUGGAGUUGGUGUGUGUGAGAUACCUGACCUGAAAAUACAUUUUUUCAGGUUUACAUGUUUGCAGAUCCAAGUUCUGUGUAAGCAUCUUUCUUCUUUACCAGAGACCUCAAGACUUUUUAAGACGGGGGAUUGACUUUUUAGUAGCAGGGCCUGUAGCAAUAUACAAGGGGUAAUGAUUUUAGACUGAAAGAAAUUAGAUUUAUAAAUUUAGACAGGAUAUAAGGAAGAAAUUUUUUAUGGUGAGGGUGACAGAACACUGGAACAGGCUGUCCAGAGAGGUGGCAGAUACCCCAUCCCUGGAAACAUUCAAGGCCAGGUUGAACAGAGCUCAAAGCAACCUGAUCUACUUGAAGAUGUCCUUGCCCACACAGGUUGGACUACAGGACCUGUAAAGGUCCUUUCCAAGUCAAACCAUUCUAUGACUGUGAUUCUGUGAUUUGUCACCAUUUUCUUUAUGGAGAUAGGUGGAGAAGGUGCAGUUAAAUUUGAGGCUGGACUGAAAGAUCCAGGACUGCCUGUGCAUCUUGGGACUGGAAAUUGAUGGUUCCUCUCUCUGGAGGACCAUUUUAAGGGAAGCUGUCUUCCUGCAAUGAAGAAGAGGUAUAGAAAAACAUCAGCAAGGGAAGAGGUAGCAAGAGAAAGAGAAACACAAAAGAAAAGGCUGAUAAAUAGAAAAUGUCAUGAAAAUUAAUAGAUAGUAGGAGAGGAAAAGGAGAUUCUGCAAUGGGAGAAAACGGGGACUGAGAAAAGUUCAAAGAAAAUACUAGCUUAACCUCAGUAACCCACUCAUACUGUAAGGGCAGAGAAUCUCAUUUAACAUUUCUUAGGUUUCAGAAUUCAUUGUACACUGAAAGAAUACUUGAUAAAUUAUUUAGACAGUUUCAACUGAGAUUGGAAAAAUCCCAGCCUGUCAGAAGCUAGGUUAAAAAAGGUUUAUGCUGUAUAAAUAAUUUACUUCUUUGGGGAGGAAAAAAACAUACAAAUGCUGUGUCUAGAGUAGAGAAGUGCUAAACCUGCUGAAGCUCAGUAGCCAUACAGCGGGUUUGAGCCAGCACUACAAACUGAGUGCUCUCAUGUAAAAGCAGAGGCUACGCCAAAGCUAAGUUAUCAAAAGAAGGUCAACAUUACAGAUUCUACAAUUAAGUUCUUUCAUACAUUCAUAUUUUAACACCAUGAGAAUAGCCCAAUUUAACAAAAAUUAUAAAGGCCUAUUUUUUCAGUGAUUUCUUGUGGCAACUAAUUUCAGUAAAGUGAACUUACCAUAUCAGUGUUGGGAUUUUCUUAAUUCGUUUCAUUUCCAUGAAAGAGACACCCUCCAGCUUCACCAUAACAAUUCACUGUUCUUAGCAGAUAGUUCCUGUUCUAGUCAGAAUUGCUUAAUCUUUCAAGGGAACCAGGUCAUGGGGUUUGUUUGUUUUUAAAUGAAGUAAUUAUUACUUAAUUUUUUAUUAUAGUAUCUUUUUAAGAGCAAUCACCAUGGUAACAGAGGAAAGGAAUAUAUACAUAUUCUAUUAUAACAUAUAUAUUCUAUUAUAUUUUAUUAUGGUGUUCAUUUCAAUAAGCAGAGGUACAGAAUAUGACAGCAACGACCUUCUAUUGCAGCAUACCACCACAGUGUAAUACUCUGAGUAAAGUCAUUUCAGUAACACCGGAUGUACAGUGAGCACAGAAGCUGUCCCCACUGCCAACUUAGCUUUGCUGGCUGUCACAAGUCAGCAAUUCCCAAAGACACCAUUCCAUAAGGAACUUCUGUCCUCUGGUCCCCACUGAAGUCUACAGAAUCUGAGGAGACUCAGCAGCCCAGGAGGGAUAAUGUCCUAAAUUCUGUCCUUACUUCUGACCACUACAAUCCCACUCAGACAAAUAAAAAUCAGCCUAUCACUUAAUUCUGUGUAUGGUCAAUGCACUCCAUGUAUUGAAUUAUACCAAUAAAUGGAAAUACUGUUCUGGCUGAUAUGUAUCAGGGCAUCUCAGAUUUAUGGCUAGCAAAAGAAAAUAAAUACUAUAGAUCUGGAAGGUGAUUUAUGGAUUAAAGCUCUGCAGACAGGAGUUAGCUAGAACACAUUACCUCAAGACUCCUUUGUGUGUGCCCAUAUAUAAAACUGGAAUUCCUCUUGUCUGCCUCCUACACAGCCCUGCCAGCUCACCAGGCUCAGCCAGAAUAUCUGCACGUCAAAGCUGCUGUGCAGAGUCUGCCUUGAUACUUGUCAGUAGAGUUAUUAUGUGCUCCCUGUGUGAAGGAGAUGAAUUUAGAUGUUCAAAGUAUCGCCUGUGAGAGCACACCAGAGCAGCACACCCCGUAAUUUGGUUGGCCUGUGGGGGAGGCUGGGAGAAGCAGAGUCUUUAUGACUUUAUUAACUCCUGAGAAACUUAAAAGCAUAUGGCCCCCAGCAUGACAGCAUCUACUGCAGGCAUGGCCGUGACCCAGCCAUGGGCACCGUGUAACCAGAAAUAUAACACUUUCUGUCUCUCUUCAGUGCCCUCAGAAUGCUUCUUUAACUAAUUCAUGUAAUUUCCUUCUGUAAUACUGAUGUGAAGAAGGUUCCUUUGUUUUGACCUGCAAGCCUCAGUCACCUUUCAGCUCUGAGAGGCUCUAACAUUUUCUUAUGUCUGGGGCUUUAGCCAAGGAGAGUGGCAAAUCCCGGCCCUCUUCAGCCUUUGCCCAGGGACCCCUUGGAUGUUUCGACUUUGGGGUGGAUCAGAGGCAACCAUUACUAUCCUGAUUCUUGUCAGCUCUGAGGUCUGUGUUCAGUAAAGAUACCUAACUCUCAUCACAAUAGGAUUUGCCUGAAAUACUAGCUUUAAUUUGGUAUCUUUUUUCCAUAUUAUAUCUUUUUCCUACAAGAGCUUGAUGAAGAGAUAAUAAAAAGUUGGAAGCAUUCUCUUCUGCAUUUACAAUGGAUAUUUUUACACAGGUAGUGCUCAAAGCAGAGAUACAUGUUCCAGGUUUCCUAAAAGCACUGUGGAUGAAGAAAAUUACCACCCUCUGGUUUAGUAGCAGAGUAUUUAUAUAUAGGUACAACAACAGCUUUUAAAGUCAUAUGGACUUUGCAGUAGGGAAUAAAGUGGGGAGCAAGAGUUUCCCUUUUAGAGCUAUCUUUCAGAAUAAAGUGCCAAAUAAGCUGUCUACAAUGGAAUUCUCCCAUUUUCAAAGACUAAGCUCGGCUAGUUCAAACUUACUGCAAAAUUGAGUUAAUAUUUUGUAUUCCUGAAUAUUUUUUAAAAAGCAAACUUCAGAAAAAUCAAGUAAUUCCUUACUAUUUAUGCCUUUCAAAUAAGGCUUUAUUCUCUGCUUGUCAUAGAUCAAGGGGUUUAUCAAGGUUUUUAUGUAUUUAUUUACUAUUUUUCCCAGACUUGUCAAAUUGAGUAUAACACGUGGAUAAAGGCAAACAGCACUAAAUAAUUAUAAUAAAACUGAACAAAAAGAAAUGGAGAAUUAAUGUCCUUGUUAAAUUUGAUGUUAUCCUUUGCUUCCAGAAUUAGCUGCCUAUUCUGUAUUUAUUUUCUUCACAUUUAUUUACAUGUGCUACCAAAGAAAAAAAAAUCACUAGUGGGUAAAUAUGGCAUAAUGGCAUAGGAUUUUAAAAGUCUCUUGAAGUGUUGUUUUGUUUGUUUGUUUGUUUUGGUUUGGUUUUUUUUUGGGUUUUUUUUAAUAGACCUCUAGUCACUAUAUGGGAAAAUACUGACGUGGCAAAAGAAACAAAACUCUUCAUCCCCUCUGCCUUUUAUUAAUGCUAAGGAACCUGGAGAACAGGCUGCCUGGGGAAGGGGUUUCAAGAGUGCAGACCCCUACCCCCAAAACAUCCCACUGUGCUAUCGAGGCUCCUCUGUGAGAACUGAGACUCAGCCACUGAUACAAGAUAUGUGCCACUUUGAGUUACAUUCUCUGUGGGGAAAAAAAAAAAUCUAAUGGCACACAUCAGGUGGGAAGUGUAAUUUUUGUACUGAUACAAUAUAGUAAAUGUUCUUAAUUGCUUAGUUCUUGGUGUAGGAGGUAAGAUGGAGGAAGGAGAUGGAAAGGGACUUUAUGGGGUGUGUGUGUGUGUGUGUGUGUGUGUGUGUGUGUUUGCAGCGUGUUCCUACAGGGUGGCUCUCACAGGGAGAGUGUCAGGAAGCAUCAUUUUGUCUAAAGUGAUGUAGCCCAUCAUUAACUUGGCACAGCGCUGCCCUCAGGAAUCCCACUGGGCUCUGCUUCAGUGCCAGCGCCCGCAAAUGCCAGGGACCGAAAUGGAAACGCGGACGCCACAGCUCCCACUGCGGUCAUUGCGAGCAUAAUCGCGGGGGCCGGCUCGGAGGAGGAGUAUUUAAGCUGCAUUUUGUUUCUAUUCUUGCAUGGCUGCAUAACAAUUGCCCACUCGCUCGAAGCCCGUCCCCGGCUGCCCGCAGGCCGUGUCUCUCCGCGGGCCGCCCGGGCCGGGCACGCCCCGCUUUGCUCCGUGCCCGUCCCGCACAGCGCUGCCAGCUCCCCGCGGCACCGCCCCGCUUUGCUCCGUGCCCGUCCCGCACAGCGCUGCCAGCUCCCCGCGGCACCGCCCCGCUUUGCUCCGUGCCCGUCCCGCACAGCGCUGCCAGCUUCCCGCGGUACCGCUGCCCUGCCGGACCGGGCACCGCUCCCUCUUCCCCGCCGCUCCAUUUUCAUGGAGCUCCUCGGAACCGGGCCGAGGAGCGGGGCUCCAUCUCACCCACACCAGGGCAGUAAUUGAUUUCAGGCCCGAGUAAGUCUAUCGAGCUCAGCCGAAUUUCUCCAGGUUUACACCGAAGUAACCAAGAUCAGUUUGUGGCCUCUCUGUAAAAUGGAACAUUAUUACAAAGUAUUUGUCCCUUUGCAUUCACGAAGAGCCAAGAACACAGUGCUUUUCUCAUUUCUGUUUCCAUCCUACCAUUACUUACUUCUAGAACAACCACUUCUACAGAAUGCUGGCAAAUGACAAAAAUGGCAAGGAAAUACAAUGGGAAACAUUUACACAUUGUAUAUGCAUAGCUGCAUAAUCACUAAGAAGAAAACAAAUUUCUUGGCAGAGUGGAAUUAAAGAAAGGCCCAUAAAGUUAAAGCCAGUUCUAUGAAGUCCUGUCUUUCUCCUGACUUCACUCACUUUUUCCUCUAUUCUUUUUUUUAUUAUUAUUAUUUUACUUUCUCAUAGAGCAGUAAGGUCAAGAUAGUGAGCCCAGCUGCUGGCUACUAGCUGAGACUGAGCCUUUGAGGUGGAGAGUGGGAUCUGACACUGCUGUAUAUUUUACUGAAGACUUUUUAAGGGCUUCCUGCUGCCUCCCAGAUCACUGCCAGCUGUCCUGAUGUCAACUGGCAAAGGACAAAAGCAGCCCUGCCAUAAAGACCUUUGCUGAGAAGUGAUCUCUGCGGCCUCCUCCCUUUCUUCAGAGUGCCAGCAAAGAUAGCACAGCUCUCCAAUCUGGAACCAUCAGAGGAAUUCAGUCAUUUGGUUAACUUUCUAUUAUUGGGCAUAAAAGAAGAAAACCAAAACAAACACUCUUUUGACCGUUCUUCAAACCAACACCUCUGGUUGCAAUGCUGGGCAGAAUUUUUAUGGUCAGAGAUUAAUAUACUGAUGAAUGGUUGACUUAAUUCUCUUAAAUUGUCCCUUCCUGAAAAAGAAGCUCCUGGGGGCACUGUUUCGUUACAAAAAGAAGAGAAAAAAGCUGAGAAGAUUAAGAUGCUUCUGUUCUCAGAAUUGAAUUUUCCCACAAUGAUACACAGUGAUACUAUUGAGAAUAGCACAUAAGUUACAGAACUACUGUUGGUAAAUUUGGGUACUAUGAAAACUCCUCAGAGUCAAAAUUAGUCAUGGUAUCAAAAUAAAUCAAGGUAAUUCAUAACUGCAGCUGAGAAGCUCUGCUACAAUAUAUUAGGGAACUUACAAAAGGAUUUCCAGAAGUAACAGCUCAUUAAAUCUAUAGGUAGGGGGUGGGGAAAAAGUCCAUUUGUUGAUAAGAUCUCACACAGUGGAAAACAAAAAAAAGCUAUUGGAUUAGGUAGGAAAAAAAAUAAGAAAACAUUUUAAUUCCUAGAGAAUCUGUGUCUAAAGGAAGAAAUUCUAAAAAUAAUUAAUAAAACAAUAUCUUUGAUAAUAAUUCUCAUACAUGCCACUUACCUAUGGUCCAUUGCUUGAAAAAGGCCACAACAAAACCCCAAACCCUCUAAUCCUUAUUAAAAUAUACAGGCAGGAGCACAUACAUACUCAAAGAAAGCAUUCAUAUCCAAAAAACCAGAUUACUUUCAAAUAUUAACAUUGUAUCAAAUGUGAUUUCUUACUUUGCUUCUAUAGCGUAAAGCCAGUUUAAAGCUAAAUCAUCCAAAUAACAGUUAGGGAACAUCUUUUGUAAGUUUGUGUCACUUGGUGCUUUGGUGCUUCUUGACCUGUGGUCUUUUUUAGGACUACUGAGUCAUAAAUAUACUGGAUCGGGCGGGUAUUUAUGCUUCUUUUCAGCUCAGUGAUUGAGGCUGCCUGUCCUUGCUUUAACCUACUUUCCCUCCUAAAGUCAUUUUGCCUCAUAAGCCCCAUGGAGAUUUGAGAGGCAAAGCCAGUUUAUUCCUAUAGCCGUCCCACUUUGUUCAGAGAUAUUGCCAAAGGCUCAUUUGGAAACCUUCUCACAGGAAAUAGGAACAUUUGGUACUUUGCAAAAACCGUAAGGACUCAACUCAAAAUAGAAAGGUACAGUUAGCAACUGUAAGAGGAGUGUACUGCUUCUCUUCAAAUAUAACAUCUGAGGAAACCCAUUAAAAACAAUGAAAAAUAAUUAAUGCUCAUCACAUAUUCACUCAUGGGGUGAUUCUAAGCAUUAACUAUUGGCUAACUGUUUGACAGUUAUUAUUUAUAAUAUAAUAUAUUCUAUUCCUGAUGUGGAGUUUGCCACACAUUCUGUAGCAGAGUUAAAUAAAAACACUAAUUUUGCGUGUA